rnacentral:rRNA from 1 species
UGCCAGCAGUCGCGGUUACACCAGGAAAUUAAGUCAUAUUUAUCGGUAAAAAGACAGUUAGACAACAAAACAGGUCAUAGAAUUUUCAAUAUAGAGGUGCAAUUCGAAUAUUGAUAAAUAAUCUAGUCAUGACUAAUUUAGUUGAAUCUGUGAUAGCUUUAAGGGAAACUGGGAUUUGAUACCCCAUUAUUUUUAGUUGUAAAUUCAAUUUUAUAUAAUUUACCAGAGUACUACGAACAGAAAGUUUAAAACUCAAAGGGCUUGGCGGUGUUUUAGACCACUCAGGGGAACCUGUCUCAUAAUCGAUGAUCCACGUUAAACCUGACCUUUUUUUGCAUUCAGCUUGUAUACCGUCGUCGUCAGGUAACUUCUAAAAAAUUAAAAGUUAGCGAAAGAAUUUGUAAAUUAUAAUGUCAGAUCAGGGUGCAGCUUAUAAAAAGGGGAGGAUGGGUUACAAUUAUAAAUCUUAACUACGAAAGACAGUUAGAAUUAACUGAUCUGAAGGAGGACUUGAAAGUAAUCUUAAAUAUACAAAUUAUAUGAAUAAGGCUCUGAAAUGUGCACACAUCGCCCGUCACUCU